CUGGCGGCGUGCUAUACAUGCAGUCGAGCGAACAGACGAGGAGCUUGCUCCUCUGACGUUAGCGGCGGACGGGUGAGUAACACGUGGAUAACCUACCUAUAAGACUGGGAUAACUUCGGGAAACCGGAGCUAAUACCGGAUAAUAUAUUGAACCGCAUGGUUCAAUAGUGAAAGACGGUUUUGCUGUCACUUAUAGAUGGAUCCGCGCCGCAUUAGCUAGUUGGUAAGGUAACGGCUUACCAAGGCAACGAUGCGUAGCCGACCUGAGAGGGUGAUCGGCCACACUGGAACUGAGACACGGUCCAGACUCCUACGGGAGGCAGCAGUAGGGAAUCUUCCGCAAUGGGCGAAAGCCUGACGGAGCAACGCCGCGUGAGUGAUGAAGGUCUUCGGAUCGUAAAACUCUGUUAUUAGGGAAGAACAAAUGUGUAAGUAACUAUGCACGUCUUGACGGUACCUAAUCAGAAAGCCACGGCUAACUACGUGCCAGCAGCCGCGGUAAUACGUAGGUGGCAAGCGUUAUCCGGAAUUAUUGGGCGUAAAGCGCGCGUAGGCGGUUUUUUAAGUCUGAUGUGAAAGCCCACGGCUCAACCGUGGAGGGUCAUUGGAAACUGGAAAACUUGAGUGCAGAAGAGGAAAGUGGAAUUCCAUGUGUAGCGGUGAAAUGCGCAGAGAUAUGGAGGAACACCAGUGGCGAAGGCGACUUUCUGGUCUGUAACUGACGCUGAUGUGCGAAAGCGUGGGGAUCAAACAGGAUUAGAUACCCUGGUAGUCCACGCCGUAAACGAUGAGUGCUAAGUGUUAGGGGGUUUCCGCCCCUUAGUGCUGCAGCUAACGCAUUAAGCACUCCGCCUGGGGAGUACGACCGCAAGGUUGAAACUCAAAGGAAUUGACGGGGACCCGCACAAGCGGUGGAGCAUGUGGUUUAAUUCGAAGCAACGCGAAGAACCUUACCAAAUCUUGACAUCCUCUGACCCCUCUAGAGAUAGAGUUUUCCCCUUCGGGGGACAGAGUGACAGGUGGUGCAUGGUUGUCGUCAGCUCGUGUCGUGAGAUGUUGGGUUAAGUCCCGCAACGAGCGCAACCCUUAAGCUUAGUUGCCAUCAUUAAGUUGGGCACUCUAAGUUGACUGCCGGUGACAAACCGGAGGAAGGUGGGGAUGACGUCAAAUCAUCAUGCCCCUUAUGAUUUGGGCUACACACGUGC
rnacentral:rRNA from 1 species